rnacentral:rRNA from 1 species
GAUGAACGCUGGCGGCGUGCCUAAUACAUGCAAGUAGAACGCUGAAGGAAGGAGCUUGCUCUUUCCGGAUGAGUUGCGAACGGGUGAGUAACGCGUAGGUAACCUGCCUGGUAGCGGGGGAUAACUAUUGGAAACGAUAGCUAAUACCGCAUAACAGUAGAUGUUGCAUGACAUCUAUUUGAAAGGGGCAAUUGCUCCACUACCAGAUGGACCUGCGUUGUAUUAGCUAGUUGGUGAGGUAACGGCUCACCAAGGCGACGAUACAUAGCCGACCUGAGAGGGUGAUCGGCCACACUGGGACUGAGACACGGCCCAGACUCCUACGGGAGGCAGCAGUAGGGAAUCUUCGGCAAUGGACGGAAGUCUGACCGAGCAACGCCGCGUGAGUGAAGAAGGUUUUCGGAUCGUAAAGCUCUGUUGUAAGAGAAGAACGAGUGUGAGAGUGGAAAGUUCACACUGUGACGG